rnacentral:rRNA from 1 species
GACGAACGCUGGCGGCGUGCUUAACACAUGCAAGUCGAACGGAAAGGCCCUGCUUUUGUGGGGUGCUCGAGUGGCGAACGGGUGAGUAACACGUGAGUAACCUGCCCUUGACUUUGGGAUAACUUCAGGAAACUGGGGCUAAUACCGGAUAGGAGCUCCUGCUGCAUGGUGGGGGUUGGAAAGUUUCGGCGGUUGGGGAUGGACUCGCGGCUUAUCAGCUUGUUGGUGGGGUAGUGGCUUACCAAGGCUUUGACGGGUAGCCGGCCUGAGAGGGUGACCGGCCACAUUGGGACUGAGAUACGGCCCAGGCUCCUACGGGAGGCAGCAGUGGGGAAUAUUGCACAAUGGGCGGAAGCCUGAUGCAGCAACGCCGCGUGCGGGAUGACGGCCUUCGGGUUGUAAACCGCUUUCGCCUGUGACGAAGCGUGCGUGACGGUAAUGGGUAAAGAAGCACCGGCUAACUACGUG